rnacentral:rRNA from 1 species
CCUACGGGAGGCUGCAGUGGGGAAUAUUGCACAAUGGGGGAAACCCUGAUGCAGCGACGCCGCGUGAGUGAAGAAGUAUUUCGGUACGUAAAGCUCUAUCAGCAGGGAAGAAAAAAAGUCCUUUGGACUUUGGACGGUACCUGACUAAGAAGCCCCGGCUAACUACGUGCCAGCAGCCGCGGUAAUACGUAGGGGGCAAGCGUUAUCCGGAUUUACUGGGUGUAAAGGGAGCGUAGACGGCAGCGCAAGUCUGGAGUGAAAUGCCGGGGCCCAACCCCGGAACUGCUUUGGAAACUGUGCAGCUGGAGUGCAGGAGAGGUAAGCGGAAUUCCUAGUGUAGCGGUGAAAUGCGUAGAUAUUAGGAGGAACACCAGUGGCGAAGGCGGCUUACUGGACGGCAACUGACGGUGAGGCGCGAAAGCGUGGGGAGCAAACAGGAUUAGAUACCCGAGUAGUC